AUCCAGCUGACGAGUCCCAAAUAGGACGAAGCGUUCAUACUGGAU
rfam:Schistosoma margrebowiei strain Zambia genome assembly, scaffold: SMRZ_contig0006205